AGAUAAUGCCAUUUUGGUAGGCCUUACUUUGUGGUUUCAAUUUUCGCCUCGUGGAAAAAAAAAAUACAUGCCGUACUGUAUAGUUUUCAUUUGGGAUAAGACGAAUGUUCGGUUGAUGUUGUUAUAAAUUAACCAGCCAUCACGCGCCAUUUUGAUUACGCCGUCUAGAUCGGUUAAGUUAACGGGGGACGUGAGCAUUUUUUCGUUACGCGGCACAGUUGAACGGUCGUCUAGUGUUGACGACACAGCUCUGUCCAAGCGAACAAAGGAACAGUAAGGUCGAUACACUCUCGUUACCGCAAUCAGAAGCAAGUAUUAUUUAUGAGAUAGUUUAAUGUUUAGUUUUGUCUCAUGUCUUUUUUGUUGUAGUAUUUUGUCUUGAGACGUGUUUUGGUUUGAAUUAAACUAAUUAGCCUUACUCAUUCAGUUCUGUUAGCAUCAUCGGCUAAGGAUAGCCGACAGUGGACAAUCAGUGAGCUAACAGCUAACUCUAGCUUUGUUGUGAUACAAGCUUUAUUUCUGUGAAAAAAUGGCGGAAGUGUAUAUUAGAGUGGCAGAAGAUGAAAACGAGGAGCCAAUGGAGAUUCCGUCCGAAGACGAUGGCACUGUUCUGCUCUCAACCGUGGCAGCUCAGUUUCCUGGGGCGUGUGGCCUGCGGUUCAGGAGCCCCGUGUCUCAGUGCAUGCGAGGAGUGCGUCUCGUGGAGGGAGUCCUGCACGCGCCUGAGAAUGGAUGGGGGAACGUAGUGUAUGUGGUGAACUAUCCUAAAGACAACAAAAGGAAAAUGGAUGAAAUAGAUGCUUCUUCUGCUGUAAAAAUGAAGAGGGGUGACAUGAAGACGUCUGACCUAAUCGUCUUGGGUCUUCCUUGGAAAACAACUGAGCAGGACUUGAAGGACUACUUCAGCACAUUUGGAGAAGUCAUUAUGGUUCAGGUAAAACGAGAUGCAAAGACCGGAAACUCCAAAGGAUUUGGCUUUGUGAGGUUCACGGAGUACGAGGCCCAAGAAAAGGUGAUCUCCCAGCGCCAUAUGAUAGACGGAAGAUGGUGUGACUGCAAGCUCCCUAACUCGAAGGUGAAUAUGCAAAGUCCAGAUGAGCCGUUGAGGAGCCGAAAAGUGUUUGUUGGACGUUGCACAGAAGACAUGACCACGGACGACCUAAGGCAGUUCUUCAUGCAGUAUGGAGAAGUCACAGACGUCUUCAUCCCAAAGCCAUUCCGAGCUUUUGCCUUUGUCACAUUUGCAGAUGAUCAGGUUGCCCAGUCUCUCUGUGGAGAGGACCUAAUAAUCAAAGGUGUCAGCGUUCACAUCUCAAAUGCUGAGCCCAAACAUGGCAAUAGGCAGUAUGACCGUACGGCACGGUUUGGAAAUGGCUUUGGAGCUCAGGCAUUUGGUAGCAGCCGUAGCGGGUUAGGAAGCAGCACUAACAGUAGUCUGGCUAACUUUGGUUCCUUCAGUCUGAACCCUGCCAUGAUGGCUGCUGCUCAGGCUGCACUACAGAGUAGUUGGGGGAUGAUGGGUAUGCUGGCUAGCCAGCAGCAGACAUCCACCUCAGGCAGCACUUCCAGUGGAACAAGCUCGAGCAGGGACCAGAGUCAGUCUUUCAGUGCAGGUAACAGCAACUAUGGCGCCAGCUCAGCCAGCCUUGGCUGGGGAACAGGGUCAAACUCUACAACCAGUAGCAGUGGGUUUAACUCAGGUUUUGGGUCCAGUAUGGAGUCAAAGUCGUCUGGGUGGGGUAUGUAAGUUAAGUGUUUGUAUGGUAAGUAUUGUGAAAAAGAUGAGUCUUUUCAAAUUUAUUUCUGGUGUUGAUGCGUAUCUGAAAACUUAACACUUUUGUGGAAGAUGUUUUGUACAUUUGGAAAAAAUGCUAAAGAUUUAAUUUAGAAAGUGUCGAAGUGAGUUGUUUACCAGGAUGUCUGACUAAAGUGCUAUUUUUGAUGUCUCAUUUGUUUGUAUCCAUUUCAACUGGAUUCUCUAAUGCAUGUAUUGUGAGAUGUGAUAUAACCAUUUUGAAAAUGCAUGAAUGUUUGUGGUCCACCAUUAUCCGGCUUUGUCAUCGACCCAAAAUGCAAUCUUGCAUUGAGAAGAAUCUGGUUGAAACCUAAAUGUUUUAAGUGCAACUUUAUUUGCAGUCAAGUUCUGUGGAAAAGCCUUCAUUGAAAUCUCUUCUGCAGUUCACCUCUCUUCCAUUUUCCCGUGAGGAAGCUCCUCUUUGGCAGCAUUCUUGGGGUGAUAUCGGUAUCAUUCUCCCUCUUCCCACCUGUAAAUGCUAUGCCAUCAAAGAACGGCUUCACCACGCAUGUUCUAAGAGACGGGACCUUGGGCUCUGCUGGUCGAGGUCUCCGUUUGAACCCUGACUGAAGUCUGUUCUGAAGGAUGAAGACGGAAGUUCCAACACUUUCAGUGUGUGGCCUUCUCAGACAUGAUAUGGGGUAGUACCUGUCUUUUUGCUGAUUUUAAUGGCUUUUAGAGUGAAAUAUCUAUUUUGGAUUUUUCAGCUAGUUGUAAGGUUUGUCUUUUUUAACCUAAGCACAGUACUGUAGAAACAAAUCUCAAAAACUUGUUUUUAACUAUAUGGCCUUAAACACCCAGUGUUAACUUUAUGAGGUGCACCUGUACAAUGUAUGACAACCACAUAGGGGAUUGUUUACAUGUAGCAUCAUUCAGUGUUGUGUUCCUGAUCAGUAUUUUUAUAUUGGCUCUAGUUUUGUCAGCAGUUUUUGGCUAAGCUGACAAAAUGCAGUACUGAAAGGUUAAGUACCUAACCUUGUAAAGCAGAUGGAUACGGCCGUUUCCGUGUUACUGUGACGUGUCCAUCUUGCAAAGCUCUGUCUGAACCUUUUGGACCCGGUUAGAAAGUGACAGGACCAAUCAGCGAUGAGGGGCAGUACUUUCAGCUGCAGUGGAAUCGUGAUGUAAGCAAGCGACAACAGGUCUGGUGCAAUAAUGGCGGAAGAGCUUAGUGUGGAUGCUGCAAAGGCGCCAGUUUUAUCAGAACUUGAUGACAUUUCUUCGUUAAAAGAGGAACAAAGAACAGCAGUGACACCCCCGCCCCCAAACGAGUUGUGUACUGAUAUGUCCAGUCGCCAUGGUUCGCAUUAUUCCUCGAUAGCUGCGCACACGCACCUCGGUCGCGGCUUGGUCACAUGUUUAGUUGCUCUGAUUGGCCCGUAAACAUGUGACAGAACGUUCAUCCAAUCACACUCAAUUUUUUUUUUUUUCAAAGCCUCUGCCCUUUCCCAAACGCUUAGUAUGGAAGGUUUUCCAGAUGGAUGUGUGAAACACGUCCAUCAUGCGUGUCAGGUUAUGGUGUACCCAGACUUUCCUAAAGAUUCUACAAACAUCAGCUGUAAACCAAACAGCCACUUAAUUACAGCCUUCUAGGGUUUUUCUUCAGUUGACUUAAUAAAAUAGUUGACAAAAACAGCAACUUGUUUUUCUGUACAUUUCAGAUAGAUUUCAACAGUGUAUCGUAGCAAUACUAGAUUUGAACUUUCCUUUGCAACUUAAGACUCAUUGUGGCCACGCUUAUUUAAUGUUUGUGAGAGGUUGCCAACUGAAAUUGUUCAUCUGUGUUUUACUCUGAGUGAAUACACAUUUCUAAUAUGAUUGUGAAAAAUAUGACAUGUAGCAACAAUGUCAGCUUCAUGUAUUAAGUAUCUGUAUUUUGUUCAACCACGUGAUGAUUUCUUUUCAUAUAAAUGUAAUCCUGACAAAUUGUUGCAUUCAUAUCUACUGUAUUGCAGGGAAUUGAGAGUUGGUUUAAACUUUCUCAAAAGCCACCCAAACAUACUCCUGCAAAACCCAAAUCCAUUCGUCUGAAGUACAGCAUUUUAACAGACAUAAAUGCUAAAGCACAACAACCACUGAAAUUUAAUGUAGACUAAGAAAAGAAACAGAAAAUAUGGCAGGUGUAUUACAUUGUACAGGUGUCCCUCACUAAGUGAUCAUUGGGUUUACUUCAUGGUAAGUAAUAAAAACAUUAAUUGAUCUCUAGUCAGAGUCAUGGCAGGUUAAAUAUUAGUCAUUCAUACUGCACUACCAAUUAUUAAGAUAGCUUUAGGCUGUAGUCAGUGCCUCUUUGAAAAAAGCAUGAUUUUCUUUUAAGUACUGAAAUUAAAAUAUUUUUAGUUUGCAAUAUCAGUGCUG